CCUUCUUUCAUGUUUAAUUCCACAAUGGCAUAUUUAAGACGACACACAAUACAAAAGCGGACAUCAGAUCAAAACUUGGGCCAUAUACAUGUGUUUGUUGAUUUUUUUGGGGGGGAGUAAAAACAGUUAUUUCCAUAUAUUACAAUACUGAAUGGACAUAACAGUUGUAAUCAUUUUCAAAGAGCAUGGAUCUAUGGCAUACUUGACUCCAAACACACAGACAUUGAGAAUAGUGCAGAGAAACACAAGCUGUUGAAAGCGCUUUUUAUAGAAGUAAAGAUGGGACGCGUAUUCGACAAGUACUGUCAUUUUAGGGACACUGUAAAGAUAUGUAGAAAUGUGUGAAUCCUUGUAAAUUAUUCACACUUGUCUCUCACACUUCAAAUUCCUCUUGACAUGUGGACGGAUUGAAACAAACAUGACCACCCAAACUACCAUUUAGAAAGUGUGCAAUAUUUGCCAGCAAAUAUCCACAAAACUGGGAAGUGAUUGUAGGCUACUGGUGUAUUUGGGAGCAAAAAGCAUCAGGUAAAUUAUAUAUUGUAUCAAGAGCUGUAUCACAUCCGGCUGUGAUUGGGAGUCCCAUAGGGUUCCCUGUGGCUCAGUUGGUAGAGCAUGGUGUUUGCAAUGCCAGCAUGGUGUGUGCCACGCAAGGGUUGUGGGUUUGAUUCCCACGGUGGGCCAGUACAACAACAACAAAAAAAUGCAUGAAAUGAAAUGUAUGCAUUCACUACUGUAAGUCGCUCUGGAUAAGAGCGUCUGCUAAAUGACUAAAAUGUAAAUCGGGUGGCGCACAAUUGGCCCAGCAUCGUCUGGGUUUGACCGGGGUAGGCCGUCAUUGUAAAUAAGAAUUUGUUCUUAACUGACUUGCCUAGUUAAAUAAAGGCCAGCUCAAACCUUUCUAUUUUUUAUUUUUUACAUUUACCAAAAAAAUUGAGGCAGACAGUGCAUGUAAUGACAAAAGCAAGAGACGUGUUUGUUUUGUUGUUGAAAAGGAGGAAUCAAAAAAGCUUUGGCAAUUCCGAGAGUCCAGUAGAGUAAGUGCAAAUAUCUAGUAAAAUCAGUGAGAGUGAAAGCAAUGAAUCUGUCAGGCCAACAAUGAACCUGUCAGGCCAGCAAUGAACUUGUCUUUUUAAUCUGCUUCCAAAAAUAUUCCUAUGCAGCCAUAACCUUGACAUCAACCACCUAAUGGAAUGAGAGAAUCAUUGGAAUGAAUUAUGUUGAUAUGAGCUUGUAAGAUAAGCCAUGCUGUAGCAACCAUGGUGAAGUUACAUCCAAUAGCUAAAAGAACAAUGUCAACUAUGGAAUGAGAGAAAGCAGAUGAGACUUUAUAGACGCCCAAAAAACAUUUGAUGAAAAGAGAGUAAAGGAAUUAAAGAACUUUGACACAGCACUGUUCUUUUAGAACCCAACUUGGUUCAGUAAAGUUUUGACAGACGUUAUCUUUUU
rnacentral:lncRNA from 1 species